rnacentral:miRNA from 1 species
CCGACGCCGGCGACGCGGGUUG